CUGAAUUGGAGGAAUUAAUUAAUAUUGUUAAAAUGUCCAUACUAACCAAAGCCAUCCUCAGAUUCAAUGCACUCGCUAUCAAAAUUGCAAUGGCAUUUCUCAUAGAAAUAUAAAAAACAAUCAUAAAAUUUAUACGGAACCACAAAAGACCUUG